CAUGCAAGUCGAACGAACCGAGGGGCUGUUGAUCGGGUUUCGGAAGGGUUCGUCCCGGAAGAGCCCGUGAGGUUCCUUGGUUAGUGGCGAACGGGUGAGUAACACGUAGGUGACCUGCCCCGAAGAGGGGGACAACCACUGGAAACGGUGGCUAAUACCCCAUGUGGUCCCGCAUUCGUUUGCGGGAUUAAAGGCUCCGGCGCUUCGGGAGGGGCCUGCGGCCUAUCAGCUAGUUGGUAGGGUAAUGGCCUACCAAGGCGAUGACGGGUAGCUGGUCUGAGAGGACGGACAGCCACACUGGCACUGAGACACGGGCCAGACUCCUACGGGAGGCAGCAGUGAGGAAUAUUGCGCAAUGGGGGAAACCCUGACGCAGCAACGCCGUGUGGGCGAAGAAGGUCUUCGGAUCGUAGAGCCCUUUUCUCCCGGACGAGAAAGGACGG
rnacentral:rRNA from 1 species